rnacentral:rRNA from 1 species
UACAGAGGGGGCAAGCGUUGUUCGGAAUUACUGGGCGUAAAGGGCGCGUAGGCGGCCUGUUAAGUCGAACGUGAAAUCCCCGGGCUCAACCCGGGAACUGCGUCCGAUACUGGCAGGCUUGAAUCCGGGAGAGGGAUGUGGAAUUCCAGGUGUAGCGGUGAAAUGCGUAGAUAUCUGGAGGAACACCGGUGGCGAAGGCGGCAUCCUGGGCCGGUAUUGACGCUGAGGCGCGAAAGCCAGGGGAGCAAACGGG